UACAGAGGUCCCAAGCGUUGUUCGGAUUCACUGGGCGUAAAGGGUGCGUAGGUGGUUGGGCAAGUCUGAUGUGAAAUCUCCGGGCUUAACCCGGAAAUGGCAUUGGAAACUGCUCGGCUAGAGUGUUGGAGGGGGGACUGGAAUUCUCGGUGUAGCAGUGAAAUGCGUAGAUAUCGAGAGGAACACCAGUGGCGAAGGCGAGUCCCUGGACAACUACUGACACUGAGGCACGAAAGCUAGGGGAGCAAACAGG
rnacentral:rRNA from 1 species